rnacentral:rRNA from 1 species
GAUGAACGCUGGCGGUAUGCCUAACACAUGCAAGUCGUACGAGAGUUUUUAACUCUAGUGGCGACGGGUGAGUAACACGUGAGAAUUUGCCUUUAGAGGGGGAUAACAAUUGGAAACGAAUGCUAAUACCCCAUAUGCUUUUGAGUGAAAUGGAUUUUAUCCGCCUAGAGAGAAGCUCGCGGCUGAUUAGCUUGUUGGUAAGGUAAGAGCUUACCAAGGCGACGAUCAGUAUCUGGUUUGAGAGGACGAUCAGACACACUGGAACUGAGACACGGUCCAGACUCCUACGGGAGGCAGCAGUGGGGAAUUUUCCGCAAUGGGCGAAAGCCUGACGGAGCAAUACCGCGUGAGGGAAGAAUGCCUAUGGGUUAUAAACCUCUUUUUCAGGGAGGAAUAAAAUGACGUGUACCUGAAGAAUAAGCAUCGGCUAACUCCGUG